rnacentral:rRNA from 1 species
GACGUAGGGGGCCAGCGUUGUUCGGAAUUACUGGGUGUGAAGGGUUCGUAGGCGGUGCGGCAAGUUGGGAGUGAAAUCUCUGGGCUUAACCCAGAGGCUGCUUCCAAAACUGCUGUGCUUGAGUGUGGGAGAGGCGCGUGGAAUUGCAGGUGUAGCGGUGAAAUGCGUAGAUAUCUGCAGGAACACCCGUGGCGAAAGCGGCGCGCUGGACCACUACUGACGCUGAGGAACGAAAGCUAGGGGAGCAAACAGG